rnacentral:tRNA from 1 species
UCCCUGGUGGCUCAGAGGGAAAAGAAUCUGCCUGCAAAGCAGGAGACCUGGGUUCGAUCCCUGGAUUGGGAA